UACUAAGAUUACUAUAUCAUAAGCAUUAUGAUGUCAAUGUGUUGUACAUCUACUCUAUCAUAAGGAAGUAUGUCCAAUGCAUGAGAAAUAUGUCCCAAAAUGGCAACAAGUAAGUAUCAUGAUCCGUUCUAUCAAUAUAUGAUGAUUAUGCUCUAUCAUGGCAACCAAGUAUACUAUGAUGCAAUAAGUAAACUAUCAAGUAUACUACAUGUCUCAACACUAUGCUAUAAGCAUGUCAAAGUAAUCCAACUAUUAAGCCUAUCUAGUAGUGAUUAUCAUUUUCCGGUUCAAUGUCAGUGUUUCCAUCAUGUUCUAGGACCUACAUAAAUGUAGUCCAGCUUGUGCC
rnacentral:lncRNA from 1 species